rnacentral:rRNA from 1 species
UACGUAGGGUGCAAGCGUUAAUCGGAAUUACUGGGCGUAAAGCGUGCGCAGGCGGUGAUGUAAGACAGAUGUGAAAUCCCCGGGCUCAACCUGGGAACUGCAUUUGUGACUGCAUCGCUGGAGUGCGGCAGAGGGGGGUGGAAUUCCCAGUGUAGCGGUGAAAUGCGUAGAUAUUGGGAGGAACACCGGUGGCGAAGGCGGCCCCCUGGACCGGUACUGACGCUGAGGCGCGAAAGCGUGGGUAGCAAACGGG